UUACAAAAUACCCUUCCUUUGUGAGGAAGGCUAAAGAAAAAAAGAAUCAGUAGCUUUUAAAGCUGGGCCUUGGUGGGACUCUAAAUGCAGUGAAAGCAGUCUGUGUUGAGAGAUUGAAAUGCAUUUCAAAGCCAGGCCUGAGUCAGGGUACAGGGAAGAAAAAACCUAUGUGCAUUUUAUAAGAAGAAAAACCUGAAUGGGAAGGGAAAAAGAGAGAGAGAGGAAAAAUCUGGAUAAUACAUUAAUCAUUAUUUUGGAAAUUGUCUUCCUUACUGACACAUACUGCGUAACUAGUGAUUGAGAACUUGGAUUUUUGUUCUAUUAUAGGCAUCUCAACAUUUGUCUGUGCUGCUUUAAAGUUUGAGAGGCAAGGAUCCUUGAACACUGCUGGACUAUGUUUUAAAUGUGUAUAUAUAUUUUUCAACUUUGCUUUUUUGGUUCUUUUUCCUUUUUUUUUUUUUUAACCUUGCCUGUGAAGUAUUAUGAGGAAAAAUACUUGCAGGAAAGCUAAAUUUAUUCUUUUUUGCAUGCUAAUGUUUAUUUUUAUUGUAUUUCUGCUUACCAGAUUUCCUAGGGGUAAUUAUUUCCCACUGCCUCAGACCACAGGAGAGUGUGAACAUCUAACAAAUAAAACAGACAAAAAGUGGCCUGUAGAAUGGUCAUUCUUUCCAAUCAGAAGAGGAACCUGGAUUCAGGGAGCAAUUUAAGGAGGGAGUUUUGAGUAUGUGUGACUUGGCAAGGUUUCAUUUGCCUGGAAGAGGAAAAGCUAGUUUAUGUCUCGUGUAGUACCUCACCCUAGGAAUUGGUAUUGACUCUUCCAGUGAGACUUCUCUCACACUCAGGGGGCUUUAAGGCGAAAUAGCAGACUUGAAUGUAUUUUAAAAUUAAAGAUAUCUGCUUUUUUUGUGUUCAGGAUGAGUUUGUCAAAUGAUGAACCCAUUUGAUAUUGAUAUGAAAUUUUUGGAUCUGUUUUCCUUUAUUGUUUAUGCUAAAAAUAUUAAGCUUGCCACCCGUAUAUCAUUAGCCAGUGCAUACUGAAGAAUUAAGAGUUCCUCCACAAAGUCAGCUUUAAAUAAGUUUUAACAAGAAUUACUGACUAUAAUAGACCUCUCCAGAACUCCCUUUUAUUUGCUGGACAGAACAAAAGUGGUUUGUGGUUUAUGUUUAUAUCAGAACCGUAUUUUUAGAUGCAGAACUUCUGUAUUUUUAUAGAGGGUGGUGUAUGAAUGGCACAGGUGAAAGCAAUUUGUCCAGUUUUUCAAUAAGUUGAUAUUUCUGUGUGCAUUGACUUUUGAUUUUCCUCUCCCUUGCAACAUAGAAUAUGAAUUUAUCCAUCCU
rnacentral:lncRNA from 1 species